rnacentral:tRNA from 1 species
GUAGAUAUAUUUUAACCACAAAAUUAGAUUGUGAUUCUAAACACAGAGGUUAGAGUCCUCUUAUCCACG